GACGAACGCUGGCGGCAUGCCUAAUACAUGCAAGUCGAGCGAACAGAUGAAGUGCUUGCACUUCUGACGUUAGCGGCGAACGGGUGAGUAACACGUAAGGAAUCUACCUAUAAGCGGGGGAUAACAUUCGGAAACGGGUGCUAAUACCGCAUAAUAUCUUCUUCCGCAUGGAAGAAGAUUGAAAGACGGCUCUGCUGUCACUUAUAGAUGACCUUGCGGUGCAUUAGUUAGUUGGUGGGGUGACGGCCUACCAAGACGAUGAUGCAUAGCCGACCUGAGAGGGUGAUCGGCCACAUUGGGACUGAGACACGGCCCAAACUCCUACGGGAGGCAGCAGUAGGGAAUCUUCCGCAAUGGGCGAAAGCCUGACGGAGCAAUACCGCGUGUGUGAAGAAGGCCUUAGGGUUGUAAAGCACUUUCAGUGGGGAGGAAGGGUGUAAUGCUAAUACCAUUGCACAUUGACGUUACCUACAGAAGAAGCACCGGCUAACUCUGUGCCAGCAGCCGCCGUAA
rnacentral:rRNA from 1 species